rnacentral:rRNA from 2 species
AUAGCGUAUAUUAAAGUUGUUGCCGUUAAAAAGCUCGUAGUCGAACUUCGGCCUUUGCCGCCCGGUCCGCCCUUUGGGUGUGUACUGGAGCGGUGGAGGCUUACCUCGUGGUGAACAAUCAUGCCCUUAACUGGGUGUGGUUGGGAACCAUGAUUUUUACUUUGAAAAAAUUAGAGUGUUCAAAGCAGGCUUACGCCCGAAUACAUUAGCAUGGAAUAAUAAAAUAGGACGUGCGGUUCUAUUUUGUUGGUUUCUAGAAUCGCCGUAAUGAUUAAUAGGGAUAGUUGGGGGCAUUCGUAUUCAAUUGCUAGAGGUGAAAUUCUUGGAUUUAUUGAAGACGAACUACUG